CAUCAACUGAGCGCAUGUGUGUCUCAACUGUCGGAAUCUUAUUAACUAUUUGCUGCAGCUGAGACGAGACUGGCAAAGUUGUUUCCGUCCGCAGUGACGGGAACUUAAUGUGACAGUGUAAUUCGAGCGCAAUUUUCGCUCUUCGCGGAUUAAUUGGGCAUGACACGGACUUUGGGAUCGUAGCUCGGCGUUGAAGCUGGCCACAGAAGUCCGCAGUCGAAAGCGUGCUUUUCGAUCACUGCGCUGCUCUCCAAAAACAAUGUCCGAAGAAUGCGGCUCUGAGCUGAACGCUGUGGGCUGCUACAGUUUCAGCGGCUUUGAUACCAAGACGCCGUUCCUGAUUGGCGUCGCCGGUGGCACGGCAUCUGGGAAGACAUCGGUAUGCCGUAAGAUUAUGUCUCGGGUGGGCCAGGAGGGCCAAGUGGUGUGCAUCCACCAGGACAACUUCUACAAGGGACUGUCGCCGCUUGAGCGAGAUCGGGCCAACCGAGGGCUCUUCAACUAUGACCACCCAGUUUUGAACACCAGGCACGGGACCAUGAAAGCAAACCUCAACUCAUCUCGACCUUUAUGCGCCAGUACCGUGUCAUCCGAAGGUUUCCCAUUCCCAGAUGUGUUUGACGACGAGCUGAUGGCAGCAACGCUGAGCGACAUCUUGCAGGAAAAGGUGGUGCAGCUGCCUGUCUACGAUUUCAUCACUAGCACACGGUUGAGGGACCAGUGGAUAAGCAUAGCGCCCGCAGACGUUGUUCUGGUGGAAGGAGUGCUGCUGUUUUACUUCCCACGCCUGCGAGACAUGUUCCACAUGAAGCUCUUCGUGGAUACUGACCCUGACACACGGCUUGCACGCAGAGCCAGCAAGAGUGCUGCGUGAUGUGAAAGAACGUGGUCGGGACCUCGAAAAAGUUCUGCACCAGUACACUAAUUUUGUGAAACCCGCAUUCGAGGAGUUUUGCCUACCUACAAAGAAGUAUGCUGACGUUAUAAUUCCCAGAGGUGCUGACAAUGAAG
rnacentral:misc_RNA from 1 species